AGCAGCCGCGGUAAUUCCAGCUCCAAUAGCGUAUAUUAAAGUUGUUGCAGUUAAAAAGCUCGUAGUUGAAUUUCGGGAUCAGUACGCCGGUCGUGCCUCCGGUAUGUACUGGUGUCACUGAUUCCUCCCUUCUGAAGAACCAUCAUGCCAUUCACUUGGUGUGGUGGGGAAUCAGGACUGUUACUUUGAAAAAAUUAGAGUGUUUAAAGCAGGCUCACGCUUGAAUACAUUAGCAUGGAAUAAUGAAAUAGGACGUUGAUCCUAUUUUGUUGGUUUCUAGGAUUGACGUAAUGAUUAAUAGGGAUAGUUGGGGGCAUUAGUAUUCAAUUGUCAGAGGUGAAAUUCUUGGAUUUAUUGAAGACUAACUACUGCGAAAGCAUUUGCCAAGGAUGUUUUCAUUAAUCAAGAACGAAAGUUAGGGGAUCGAAGACGAUCAGAUACCGUCGUAGUCUUAACCAUAAACUAUGCCGACUAGGGAUCGGAUGAUGUUAAUUUUUUAAUGUACUCAUUC
rnacentral:rRNA from 1 species